rnacentral:rRNA from 1 species
AGCUCGUGUCGUGAGAUGUUGGGUUAAGUCCGUUACGAGCGCAACCCUUGUCCUUAGUUACCAGCACGUUAUGGUGGGCACUCUAAGGAGACUGCCGGUGACAACCGGAGGAAGGUGGGGAUGACGUCAAGUCAUCAUGGCCCUUACGGCCUGGGCUACACACGUGCUACAAUGGUCGGUACAAAGGGUUGCCAAGCCGCGAGGUGGAGCUAAUCCCAUAAAACCGAUCGUAGUCCGGAUCGCAGUCUGCAACUCGACUGCGUGAAGUCGGAAUCGCUAGUAAUCGUGAAUCAGAAUGUCACGGUGAAUACGUUCCCGGGCCUU